GAUGAACGCUAGCUACAGGCUUAACACAUGCAAGUUGCGGGGCAGCAUGUCGGUUGCUUGCAACCGAUGAUGGCGACCGGCGCACGGGUGAGUAACGCGUAUCCAACCUACCCUUCACCACGGAAUAAUCCAGUGAAAAUUGGUCUAAUACCGUAUGAGGUCAUACGAUGGCAUCAGAAUAUGACGAAAGGUUUAGCGGUGAAGGAUGGGGAUGCGUCUGAUUAGCUUGUUGGUGGGGUAACGGCCUACCAAGGCGACGAUCAGUAGCCGACCUGAGAGGGUGACCGGCCACAUUGGGACUGAGACACGGCCCAAACUCCUACGGGAGGCAGCAGUGGGGAAUAUUGCACAAUGGGGGAAACCCUGAUGCAGCAACGCCGCGUGAUUGAAGAAGUAUUUCGGUAUGUAAAGAUCUAUCAGCAAGGAAGAAAAUGACGGUACUUGACUAAGAAGCCCCGGCUAACUACGUG
rnacentral:rRNA from 1 species